rnacentral:lncRNA from 1 species
AACGAUUGACAUAUCAGUAAAAUCUCUUACACUAAAGGUUUCACCAGUUAUCAUAAAUACCAUAAUAACUGUUACUUCAGCACUGUAUACAACUAAGGAGACUGUCCCCGAAGAAAGCACUUCUAAUGUAGCACAUUUAUGGGACAAGAAGGAUACAAAGAAUCUAAAAAUGUGGUUUCUUGAAGAAUCAAAUGAAACUGAAAAAGUAGUUCCCACAGAUGAAGUGAUGCCAGGAGGAGAGACACUGAACUUAAAUAUUGAUUCUAUUUUUAUUGUUCUUGAGGCUGGAAUUGGUCAUAGAACAGUUCCAAUGCUAUUGGCAAAGUCAAGCUUUUUGGGGGAAAGCAAAAACUGGAGGACAUUAAUAAACCUUCACUGUCAGCUUGAACUGGAAGUUCACUAUUUUAAUGAAAUGUUCGGUGUUUGGGAACCUUUACUGGAACCCUUAGAAAUUGAUC